UUACGGCCCCGGUUCAUUCAUUCGGCCCGCAGCGCCCGGCCCCCGAGCCCCGGGGCGACCCCGCGAGGCCCCCGCCCCCCCCCCCCCGCGCCGCCGGCCCCGCGGGAGCCCGACGGGGUCCGCCCCAGGCUGGGCGCCAGGCUGCACCCGUGGGCGCCGCGCCCUCCUCCGCGGGGCGGUCGCGCGGGCGGCGCGGGUUCGAGGCCCGCCCGGGGCGGCGGCGUCUCCGGGGAGGCGGGCGCUCGGCGAGUCUUCCCCGAGGGCCGCGGGGCGCACCCACCCGGGGCCCGCAGUCCCCCCGCCUGUCGGCCGCACCCGCCGCGCCCCCCGCGGCCUCCCCGGGGCGCCCACGGGAGCCCCCAGCAAGCCCGCCCCUGGCCCGGGGGCCGCGCCCCGCUCUCCGCCCCGCGCCCCGCGCGCCCCGUGCGCCCCGCGCCCCCUCCCCGGCCGGUGACAUCCGCUCCCGCGGCCCCGCGGCGCUCCGGCAGGUCCCCGCCGCGCGCCCCCCGGCCCCGGGCCCCGCGCCCCGCGCCCCCCACCCCUGCGCCAGGCUGCGCCCCGCGCCCCGCGCCCCGCGCCCCGCGCCCCUGCCCCGCGCCCGACGGGAGCCCCGCGGAGGCCGCCGUCCGGAGAACAAAGGCCGGGGGCGCGGGGGGCGGGGCAGCGGGGGGCAGCGGGCAGGGGCGCGGGGCCCGGCGGCGGGGCGCCCUCUUACCGGCUCGGGUGCUGUGCCCCCGGGGAGCGCGGUGCCGCGAGCGGCGCGGGUGCGGGCGUGGCCGGCGGGUGCCUGGCCGCGGGCGGAGGCUGAGUCCCGGCUCGACGGCCGAGCCCGCAGCGAGGAGCGAGUGGGAGCUGCCGCCGCCGCCGCCGCCGCCGCCGCUACUGCCGCCGCCGCCGCUCCUGCCGCCGCAGCCCCUGCGCCGCUCGCGCCCGCGCUCCCCCUCCCCUUCCUGCCCAGCGCCCUCCCCCGGCGCCCGCCCGCCGCCCGCCUCCCGCCUCCCGCCUCCCGCCGCCCGCCGCCCGCGAACCCCGCCCCUCCGCGCCGCCCCGGGCCCCGCCCGCCUCCCCUGCGCCCGGCCCCGCCGCCCCGGCCCCCGGCCCCCGGCCCCCGGCCCCCGGCUUGCGCGCGCCCCCCUCCGCGCCCCUCCCCCGCCGAGCCGAGCCCCGCGUCCGUGGGCAGCCCUCGCCCUCGCCCUCGCCCUCGCCCUCGCCCUCGCCCUCGCCUCGCCCUCGCCCCCCUCUCUCCGUCUCCCCUGGACUGGCCGCAGAGGCCCGCCCCGGGGUGCCCACGGCGCCCCCUGCACCUGCUGCCCGUCCCGCGCCCCGCACCCUCGCGCGCCGCGCCCGCCGGAGCCCCGGACACCUGGACACCCGGACACCUGGACGCCUGGACACCUGGACACCUGGACACCCGGACACCCGGACGCCUGGACACCCGGACACCCGGACGCCUGGACACCCGGACACCUGGACACCCGGACACCCGGACACCUGGACGCCCGGACACCUGGACGCCUGGACACCCGGACACCCGGACACCGGGACACCCGGACACCUGGACACCCGGAUACCUGGACACCGGGACAGCUGACAGCUGGACACCCAGACCCUGGACGCCUGGACACCGGGACAGCUGGACACCCGGACACCGAGACACCCGGACACCUGGACGCCUGGACACCGGGACGCCUGGACAGCUGGACAGCUAGACACCUGGACGCCUGGACACCCGGACACCCGGAGGCCUGGACGCGCGGGAGGCCGAGAAGACCCGGCACCGCGCGGCCGCAGGGGGCCGCCGACCCAGGGCGAGUCCGCGAGCGCGGCCGGGGCGAGGGCGGCGGCCCAGGUCCGCCCGCGUGGGGAGGGCGCCGCGCCGCGCCCCGCGAGGAUGCUGUGGGCGGAGGGCAGGCGGCGGCCGAGCAGAGGCAGCGGCGGGUCCUGCGCGGUGGCGAGCGGCGGGGUCGGGGGGUCCGGGGGGCGGGGGGCGGGGACGGGGACGGGGACUGGGACGUCCACCCACCUGGCUCACCUGCCGGCGGGGAGCGGAUGCGGGAGACGGCGCGGCGACGCUCACCCCGGCUGCUCGUCCUCAGACAAAAGCCCGCGUCACCUGCCCGCGGCCGCCGGGACCUCGGGGCCCCUCUUUGCGGCCCGCUGGCGCCCUCUGGCUGCGCCCGGUCGGCCUGGGCGUACCCGCGGCCCCGGGAAGCCGGCGGCGCCCUCCUCACCUGGGCGGGGCGCCCUCCUCACCUGGGCGGGGCGGCGCGUCCUCCGCCCUCGCAGGCCCGGGACGCGGACGAAGGCCUCCGUCCUCCGUCCUUAGGGGAGGAUGCCACAGGCAGGUGCGUCCGCAGGCAACUGGGGGAGACACUUUUUAACGGGAAAGGUGAUGGCCUUCUUACCGACCAGUUGCCUUGACAUCUGCUGACCCGGCUGGAAUCGGACAAGGACAAGCAGCGUCCCAGUGGCCGUGCAGACAAGCUGGAUCUUUAGACACGAACGGUUUCAAGUCCUAAGUGCCUCUGCUUCCGGCUUUGUGAGUUUGACCACAGAUCUUCAUCUCACUUAGUCUCAGUCUUUUCAUCUGGAAAAUGGAAAUGUUUACAACUUCACUGGGUAGUUUGGAGGAUUAUACAAGAAAAUGUAUCUAAAUCCCUCAGCCAGUUCAUAAGACACACUCAGAAAAAUGUGUCCUGAAGAAGCUGAUGUUAGGGGCGCCCGGGGGGGGGGGGGGGGGGCUCAGGGGUGGAGCAUCUACCUUCCGCCCAGGGCAUGAAGGGGGUGGGCCUGCAGGGCUCCCCCCGGGGGGUGGGGGGGACAUGCUGCGGAACCCAGGGAGGGCAGACAAGCAGAGAGCACAGCCUUUCCCCGAGGCCUGAGAAAAUAGGAUUGGCCUCAGCCCCCGUAACUACCCAUCUAAAAAUUUUAAAACACGACCCCCUGCCUAAAUCUCAAUUUUAUACUGUAUGUCUUAUUCACUGACCAUCUCAAAGGUACGGAUACUUUUUAAAGAGAAACUAAAGACCAGAUUCAAACACCAAGUCCCCGCCUCCGGGCAGGUACAGUAGGACGGAGAAGCUUACCAUCCAGGGCACGAGGUCGCACACUUCUUUUCUGAAAGGGCCGAACAGUGACUCUUUCAGGUUCUGCAGCCCACGGGACUCCUGUGGCUCCUGCCAAAGCCCGCCCUGGGGGCAGGAAAGCAGCCACAGACAAUGCAAAAACAGGUAGGCAAGGCUGCGUGCCAAUAAAGCUUUAUUUACAAAACCCGUUUGGACACAGGGGGUGCAGGUUGCCCAUCCCUGCAAAAUUCACCCGUAGACUAGAAUAAAGUAAGUUUCAUGCUUCCUCUCACAAAUUCAGAAUUCUCAUUUUACGUGCCUUAAAAAAAUUAUUCUGGAGCAACAAAUAAAUGCAAGCAACAAAAAGGAGCUCUGCAAUUUUUUUUUUUAACGUGCUACAUACAGAGUGUCGUGUGAAUAUUUUCUAUUCUCAAAUCAUUUUCUUUUCACUAUGCUAAACUCUACAUUCUUCAAAGUCUCCAAAUCCAUUCAGAUGUUUCUUUCGUCAACUCCAAACGUUUACGACUGACACACGAGGUGAUGAAAAUUUGCAUUUAAUCCUGAUUUCCAUUAAGAGGGGCUUAUACUCACUUCUGAGGCUUAUUGUAUUUUAAUCUCAUUAACUUCACAUUUAUUGUCCCAGUAAUUGAAAUAUAGCUUGACAUAUUUGCCAGUCUAGUCUGGAAUUACCCCCUUGUCGGGAAGCAAAAUGGGGGGAAAAAAAGCAGAAGAGAAGAUAACACGUUUAAAUGCAAACAAUAUAUUAAGCAUAAUAAAUGUCAGGCUUCCUGCAGGACAUUUUCCUGAAAGGAAUGUUUUUAAAUAUUAUACAAUAAAAAACUUUUGCUUCGUGAUAUGGGAUAGCAGACGGACUCCAGCUAAAUAAAAUAGGUGCAGACCCAGCUCCAUUUAUCUUAGAUUCACCCCUAGAGAUUGCAGUUUGCAAUCUGAGUCGGAAUUUAAUUCUUACUCUGUAAUUAAAUGUUGAGAACUGUUCAAAGGUCCUAGUCUGGUUUAAAUCGAAAAUGCAACAACAUGCUGAGAUGCUGUCUUUUUAAAAAUUCAUUUAUUUCUUAUUAUUAGAGAAGGAGAGAGGGGGGAGGAGCCGAGGGAGAGAGAGAACCUCAAGCAGAAAGAACCUGCUUCUGGCACAGAGACUGACUCGGGGCUCCUUCCCAUGACCCCAAGACCAUGACCUGAGCUGAAAUCAAGAGUUGGAUGCUCCACUCACUGAGCCACCCAGACGCCCCUGAGGUCCUGUCUUUUUAAAUCACUGUUCACACUUAAAAGUGGAAGGAACCGAGUUGCCCAAGAACGUACAACCAAUGCCAAGCCCCGCAGCCCCCCGGGGGGAUGUCACUAAUAAAUCUAUAUCAACUAAUCAUAGAUUUGGGGCAGCUCUGGUGGCUCAGUGGUUUAGUGCCACCUUCAGCCCAGGGUGUGAUCCUGGAGACCCGGGAUCGAGUCCCACAUGGGGCUCCCUGCGUGGAGCCUGCUUCUCCUCUGCCUGUGUCUCUGCCUCUUUCUCUGUGUGUG
rnacentral:lncRNA from 1 species